GGAGGGGUGGCAGAGCGGCUUAAUGCGGCGGUCUUGAAAACCGUUGUGGGCGUGAGUCCACCGGGGGUUCAAAUCCCUCCCCCUCCGCCA
rnacentral:tRNA from 1 species